AUUGAACGCUGGCGGCAGGCCUAACACAUGCAAGUCGAGCGAGCGGCGGACGGGUGAGUAAUGUCUGGGAAAAUGCCUGAUGGAGGGGGAUAACUACUGGAAACGGUAGCUAAUACCGCAUACCAUCAGAUGUGCCCAGAUGGGAUUAGCUAGUCGGGGGGGUAACGGCGCACCUAGGCGACGAGCCGUAGCGGGGCUGAGAGGAGGAUCCGCCACACUGGGACUGAGACACGGCCCAGACUCCUACGGGAGGCAGCAGUGGGGAAUUUUGGACAAUGGGCGAAAGUCUGAUCCAGCAAUGCCGCGUGUCUGAAGAAGGCCUUCGGUUUGUAAAGGACUUUUGUUAGGGAAGCGGUACCUAAAGAAUAAGCACCGGCUAACUACGUGCCAGCAGCCGCGGUAAUAC
rnacentral:rRNA from 1 species